CCUUAGGUUAUAUGUGUGUGGAUAUAUGUUAUUAACACAGGUAUUCAUAGAAAUCCGUCAAUACUCAUGUUAUCUGGAAUUAUGUUAAAAUGUUGUAUGCCACAGAAAUAAUUAAUUUUCCUUAACAAAUGAACUCUCAUGAUAAAUUUAACCAUGGCCCUUUCAAGUCACUUGUCAUUCACAGAAAGUUAUUCCUUUGUUUUGACUCUUCCCCAAAAGUGUUUACAUCAACUACAGGCAAGACUGCUAUGUGAUGGUAACACUUGGAUAACUUUGAAACCUUUCCUCCAGACUGUGUAAAAAUUUCCAGAAGUAAUACAAAAGCUGAUAUAUUCUUAAAACUACUAAGUCAAGAUCUAGCAGAACAAGAAUUAAUUACAAGGUGCUGAAUGAAAUGAUGACAGUCAAAUAGAAGAGUCGAAUGUGGAUUUGGAGACAAUCACCACCCUGCAUCUUGCAAAUCCUCUAUGGUGGCAGGAUUCUCUGCAUUCCCUAUGGGAAUCCUAGGACACAAUUGGAAACAGGUUAUAUUACCAAGGCUUUGACUGGAAUGCCAUAUUUGAGAAAGAAUGUGCAUAGACUCAGAUGUUACCAGACAGCUUUAAGAAACCAAGAUUGACUUUAUGGAGCCAAUAAAGCCAAUUGGAAAUAUCAGCCAGGUAGAAGACUGUACUGAACGCCAUGCUUCUCCAGAAUGUUUUCAUCCUUUGUGGAAACUGCCUUCCUGGAUUAUAAUCCUCACCCUGGCUCAGGACCAUAGGAGGAAAAUGACCAUGACUGCAUUUUAUUAUCUAAUUUGGGUUACAUAUGUAUCUUACUUAAAAGGCUCCUCCACCUGGGUGGAUUUCCACUCCUGUUUCUGACACUUGAAUUCGACUGACCAAGACAAAUACCUCCAAACCAGGAUGAGAAGAAGAUCGCAUCUGUUGUAGACAGCUAUCCCAAGACUCCAGAUCAGGCCUGUAUUCCCAAUAUUAUAUCUCCUCAUUUAAACCUUUGUAAUGCUUAAACCAUAUAUGCAUUUUAUAGUUGUUCCAUUUAAGAUUUUCGGAAUACUAUCAUACUUAAAGAAAGCAAUUGGUUUGGAACAGACUGGUCUUGAAGACCAGGCGUUUAUUGGGUGGUUCCUAAUGGAACUCAACGGUUGUGUGGAACAACCUCUGGCCUUGGCUACUGCCUGGAUGGCUAAGACACUGCAGCCAGGGUUUCUCUUGGAUGCAGGGAAGGAUUUUCCCUGAAUUAACAACUGUUGCCAAUCUUCCUCUCCUUAAGGCCGGAGGGGCGCAUUCAGUGUUUCAUUGGUAUAACCACCUAGAAGCUAUAUUUGUUUCUUCUUUGGGGCUAGAAGAUGUCAUAUCACAUAUAGAAGCCCUGAAAAAAUUUACUCCACAAGCCCUUAAUGAUAAUCAAGCAGAAAUAGCCUUAUUAAAUACUGAAAUGUCUUUAGUAAGAAAGGCUGUCCUUCAAAAUAGAAUAGCCUUGUUUAUUUUAACUGCAUUCCAAGGUGAUAUGGGUGCAAUCAUUCAAACUGAAUACUGUGUUUUUAUACCUGAUGAAUCUUCCAAUUUAUCGUUUCUGCUAAAACAUGAAAACAAGAAAAAGUAGGUGAAUGACCUACAUGACUGUAGACCUAGUCUUGAUUUGUUUAGUUGACUCCCUUCCAGUAUUGGCUGCCUUUUGUGAUCAAAAUUGCAAUUCCUAUUUCUAUGACACCUUAGAAUUCUUGUAUUAGUCAUAAUAUUCAAACUAAUGACUGUUUUCUUUACUCAGUGUUUUAAGACUGGUAUCACUGGCUAGAGUAAUGAUUGCUCAGCAACUUGAGAUGGUCGAUUGAUCUUACAACCCCAGAUGAAUUUCCUUUUCUGAUAAAGACUAUGUGAGCAGAUUCAUUAUUGGAGCCCAGGACCUCACAACCACAACUCUAGUGUGCAUCUUUAAAGGCUAUAUUCACUCCCGAUGAAUAAGGGAUCCAUUGAUUGAAGGAACACCUUUUCUCUGAAGCCAGGUGUAACUUCCACCAAUUUGAAAAUAUUCCUCAUUAAAUGCCUGAUGGUGAGCACUAUCCAGCAAAUAUCCUCUAUUACCAAGUCUCAAGGGAUAAUUCAGCAGAUCAUUAAAGAUUAAAAGUUAUAACGCCACAAUUGGAUAGAUCUGAUUCUUCUUUGGAGCCCUGGAAUCCUCGCCCAGAACCCUAACUGUGUACCCUUGAAACUUUCAUCUUCGCUCUUGGUUGAUCAAGGAUCCUUUGGACACAAUUGGAAACAUUGAAUAUAUCACCAAGUCUUUGGAGUGUCGUGUUUGAGAAUGACGUGCAUGGAAUCAGAUAAGACCCAACAGCUUUAAGAACUAAGGUUGACUUUAAGGAGCCAAUGCUUAUAAAACAAGCCUGUACCUGUCUUACAGGAUUUUCCACCUUACAGGUCAGUAAGGAAGGUCACUUCUUUGACCAGUUCAAGAAUCCAAGGAUAUUUUCAGGAUCCCUAGAAGAGAAUAAUUUCCCCAAAUCUAUAGUCA